UUCAGAUGGAAAAAAAACUAAUAUUCGUUAUAACGAAUAUAUUUUAAUAUAUUCGAAAUAUUCGCAAAUUUACAAAGUUGUAAUAUUCGUACGAAUCUUUCGCUAUUCGAAUAUUCGCGCUCAUCCCUAGUGAGAACAGAUGCAUUUUUUU